rnacentral:rRNA from 1 species
CCUACGGGUGGCAGCAGUGAGGAAUAUUGGUCAAUGGUCGGGAGACUGAACCAGCCAAGCCGCGUGAGGGAGGAAGGUACAGAGUAUCGUAAACCUCUUUUGUCAGGGAACAAAGGCGGGGACGUGUCCCCGGAUGAGUGUACCUGAAGAAAAAGCAUCGGCUAACUCCGUGCCAGCAGCCGCGGUAAUACGGAGGAUGCGGGCGUUAUCCGGAUUUAUUGGGUUUAAAGGGUGCGCAGGCGGUCUGUUAAGUCAGCGGUAAAAGCCCGGGGCUCAACCCCGGCCCGCCGUUGAAACUGGGAGUCUCGAGUUGGAGAGAAGUAUGCGGAAUGCGAGGUGUAGCGGUGAAAUGCAGAGAUAUCGGGCAGAACUCCGAUUGCGAAGGCAGCAUGCCGGCUCCACACUGACGCUGAGGCACGAAAGCGUGGGUAUCGAACAGGAUUAGAUACCCGGGUAGUC